GGAAAAGAGUGACGCUGUCAGGUGGAUGACUCGGCUCAGCUGCCGAUGAAGGACGCGACAAGCAGCGAAAUGCUCCGGCGAAUCGCAUGUAGAUGUUGAACCGGAGAUCUCCGAAUAGGACUUCCUCAGAGAAUCCGCAAGGAUGGGGAACGCAGGGAAGUGAAGCGUCUCAGUACCUGCAGGAAAAGAAAUCAAUUGAGAUGCGGUGAGUAAGAGCGACUGAAAUCCGCACAUGGCAAACCGAAUCUUUGCUGGCAACAGUAAAGGGAUGUGGUGUUGGCCUUCGUUUCUUCCGUUUCGGGAAUCUGAAGUUGCCUGGAAAGGCAUGCCAGAGAGGGUGAUAGCCCCGUAGGAACAACUGGAGCGGAAGAUGGAGAGUCCAUGAGUAUCGGGUAUUGGAUAUUACUCGAGAAUACGGGAGGAAUCAACUUCCAACCAUAAAUACACGCUGAGUCCGAUAGCGAACAAGUACCGUGAGGGAAAGUUGAAAAGAACCCAUAACAGGGAGUAAAAAGACCCUGAAACCUGACAGCCAUAGAGGGAUACGGCAUUACGGUGUCGUAUCGUCCGUUUUGAAUAACGUGCCAGGGAGUUUAUCUGUAUGGCGAGACGGAGCCUUUCUCAAGGCAGAGUCGAAGCGAAAGCGAAUUGCCGCAGGCAACAAGGGCAAUGGUAUGAAAGUGCCAUAGUCAUAUGGAUAUGACCCGAAACCGGGCGACCUAACCCUAAGCAAGGUGAAGCGGGAGUAAAAUCCCGUGGAGGCCUGCAGAGGUGCUACGAACAAGUGCUCUUAUGACUUGGGGUUAGGAGUGAAAUGCCAAUCGAGCCCGGUGAUAGCUGGUUCCUACCGAAGUUGGCCGUAGUCAAGCCUUGACCGAGGUAGGUAAGAGGGUAAAGAUACGGAUUAGGGAUUUAGGCUGGGAAACCGGUCGGUUCCUUGUCCAACUCAAAAUCUCUUACCACCAUAGAAGUCAGGAGACGGGAAGUCCGGGGUAAGCUUGGCUUCCGAGAGGGGAACAACCCAGACUGUAGUUAAGGUCCCUAAUUGUUGAUUAAGUGUGAAAGGGUGAAGAGUGUCCAGGUCCAAAAACAACUAGGAGGUUGGCUUAGAAGCAGCCACCCUUUAAAAAGUGCGUAACAGCUUACUAGUCUAGGUUCUGGGUCUCGAAAAUGGACGGGGCUAAAUCAACAACCGAUACUGCAGGGCUCAGUAAUGAGUUUGGUAGGUAGGUAUCCUGUGAGGGCAGAAGCACGCUUGAGAAGGUGUGUGGACCUCGCAGGAAAACGAAUCCUGGUGGUAGUAGGACCUGAGCGGUGUGAGAAUCACCGUAACCGAAAGGGCAAGGGUUCCUUGGCAAUGCAAAUCAGCCAAGGGUAAGUUAGUCCUAACCGCGAUCGUAAUGGUGUAGCGGGAAAGGGAGACAGGUUAAUAUUCCUGUACCAUCUUUGUAUGUGCGGCAACGCAAGCUCAUGUUUCAGACAUUUCUGGCUAGGCCAACACAUGCUUUGCUUGUGUUAAAGGGAACAGGUCAGGGGAGAAUCAUUAUGAUGAGAACCUGAUCAAGCCCUGAUGAGCACCCUGUAUGGGGUGUUUGGCUCAUGCCCGGAAUCCCUGAAAAUGGAACAGAGAAAGAUCAAAGAUGACUAUACCAAGAACCGGCACAGGUGCCCCAAGGUGAGUAGCCUAAGGUUUGUAGGUUUAAUCUAGUUAAGGGAAUUCGGCAAAAUAGCCCCGUGGCUUAGGUACAAGGGGUCCCUGCGCUCGUGACGCAAGUUGCGAGUACAGGGUGCAAUUACAAGGGGGGUCCGACUGUUUAACAAAAACGCAGCUUUCCGCAAAUCCGUAAGGACAAGUAUGGGAGGCGACAUCUGCCCAGUGCCAGUACUUUAAACUCCUUUUCAAGGGAGCUAAGAGCUGGUAAACGGCGGGGGUAACUAUAACUCUCUUAAGGUAGCGAAAUGCCUUGCCGUUUGAUUGACGGCCUGCAUGAAUGGUGUAACGAGAUCCCCACUGUCCCUAGCUAGAAUCCUCCGAACACUCUUUUCUGGUGCAAAAGCCAGAGACUCCUAGUGGGAAGCGAAGACCCCGUGAAACUUUACUGUAGCUUGUUACUGCGUUGUAUGUUUUGAUGUGCAGUGUAGGUGGGAGUUGCUAAAGCGUAGACGCCAGUUUACGUGUAGACGACAAUGAAACACCACCCUUCGAAGUGUACAAUGCUUACUUCAUUUGAAAGACACUAGCAGGCGGACAGUUUGGCUGGGGUGGCACUCCGCCGAAAAGAUAUCGGCGGAGCCCAAAGGUUGGCUCACCAGGUUUAGGAAUCCUGGGGAGAGUGCAAGAGCAAAAGCCAGCCUGAUUGGAUCCCUAACAAGACAGGAUCCAAACGCGAAAGCGUGGUCUAGCGAACACCCGAAGCUCAUUGAUAGGGCUCGGGUAUGACCGAAAAGUUACUCCGGGGAUAACAGAGUUGUCGCGCCUGAGAGUUCACAUCGACGGCGCGGCUUGCUACAUCGAUGUCGGCUCUUCCUAUCCUGGCCGUGCAGGAGCGGCCAAGGGUGGGGGUGUUCACCCAUUAAAAGGGAUCGUGAGCUGGGUUCAGUACGCUGUGAGGCAGUAUGUUUGAUAUCUACUAGGAGUGUUGGUAUCUGAGAGGAAGGACUUUCUAGUACGAGAGGAACGAAAGUUCGGCGCCUCUGGUCGACCUGUUGUCUAACAAGGCAGGCAGGGCAGCUACGCGCUACGGGAUAAAGGCUGAAAGCAUCUAAGCCUGAAACCCUCCCCGAAAAGAGAUACCUUGAGCCCUCAUAGAAGAUGAGGUUGAUAGAGUGGAUGUGUACGCAUCAAGGAAACGAGAUGUUCAGCAUGCCACCACUAAUAGCUCUUACUUUUCCUU
rnacentral:rRNA from 1 species